rnacentral:piRNA from 1 species
UAAAGUUGUGAGCACCGAACAAGAGGGC